rnacentral:rRNA from 1 species
GGUUAAGCGACUAAGCGUACACGGUGGAUGCCUAGGCAAUCAGAGGCGAUGAAGGACGUGCUAAUCUGCGAUAAGCGUCGGUAAGGUGAUAUGAACCGUUACAACCGACGAUUUCCGAAUGGGGAAACCCAGUGCAAUUCGUUGCACUAUCGUUUGAUGAAUACAUAGUCAAACGAAGCGAACCGGGGGAACUGAAACAUCUCAGUACCCCGAGGAAAAGAAAUCAACCGAGAUUCCCCUAGUAGCGGCGAGCGAACGGGGAGCAGCCCAGAGUCUUAAUCAGCAUUAGCAUCAGGAGAACGGUCUGGAAAGUCCGGCAGUAAAGGGUGAUAGCCCCGUAUCCGAAGGUGUUAGUGUUGUGAACUCGACGAGUAGGGCGGGACACGUGUUAUCCUGUCUGAAUAUGGGGGGACCAUCCUCCAAGGCUAAAUACUCCUGAUUGACCGAUAGUGAACCAGUACCGUGAGGGAAAGGCGAAAAGAACCCCGGCGAGGGGAGUGAAAUAGAACCUGAAACCGUGUACGUACAAGCAGUGGGAGCCCCAUCACUCAAGUGCCUCGGCAAUUGAGUGAGGGUGUAAAACCAUCACAAUAACAGCGCAGGAUUUGCCAACAAGAUUGGCUGAUUUUUUCAAGCCGCAGCGCAGUGGACAUCGAAGUCCAUGAGCAGCGGAAGUUAAAAAAUCGGGCAAGAUUGGCCGCAAAGACAAGCGGGACAUUUGAGGAUGGGGUGACUGCGUACCUUUUGUAUAAUGGGUCAGCGACUUAUAUUCUGUAGCAAGGUUAACCG